rnacentral:rRNA from 1 species
AUAUGGUAGUCUGUUAGUAUAGUUGAAGGAUUUGGAAAAUUCCGCUAAAGAGGGUGAAAGCCCCGUAGACGAAAUGCUGACAACACCUAGGAGGAUCCUGAGUACGGCGGAACACGAGAAAUUCCGUCGGAAUCCGCGGGGACCAUCCCGCAAGGCUAAAUACUCCCUAGUGACCGAUAGUGAACCAGUACCGUGAGGGAAAGGUGAAAAGCACCCCGGAAGGGGAGUGAAAUAGAUCCUGAAACCGUGUGCCUACAACAAGUCAAAGCUCGUUAAUGAGUGAUGGCGUGCCUUUUGUAGAAUGAACCGGCGAGUUACGAUUGCAUGCGAGGUUAAGUCGAAGAGACGGAGCCGCAGCGAAAGCGAGUCUGAAUAGGGCGAAUGAGUAUGUAGUCGUAGACCCGAAACCAUGUGAUCUACCCAUGUCCAGGUUGAAGGUGCGGUAAAACGCACUGGAGGACCGAACCCACGUACGUUGAAAAGUGCGGGGAUGAGGUGUGGGUAGCGGAGAAAUUCCAAACGAACUUGGAGAUAGCUGGUUCUCUCCGAAAUAGCUUUAGGGCUAGCCUCGGAAUUGAGAAUGAUGGAGGUAGAGCACUGUUUGGACUAGGGGCCCAUCUCGGGUUACCGAAUUCAGAUAAACUCCGAAUGCCAUUCAUUUAUAUCCGGGAGUCAGACUGCGAGUGAUAAGAUCCGUAGUCGAAAGGGAAACAGCCCAGACCACCAGCUAAGGUCCCAAAAUAUAUGUUAAGUGGAAAAGGAUGUGGGGUUGCACAGACAACUAGGAUGUUGGCUUAGAAGCAGCCACCAUUUAAAGAGUGCGUAAUAGCUCACUAGUCGAGUGACCCUGCGCCGAAAAUGUACCGGGGCUAAACAUAUUACCGAAGCUGUGGACUACACCAUUAGGUGUAGUGGUAGGAGAGCGUUCUAAGGGCGUUGAAGGUCGAUCGUGAGGACGGCUGGAGCGCUUAGAAGUGAGAAUGCCGGUAUGAGUAGCGAAAGACAGGUGAGAAUCCUGUCCACCGUAUGACUAAGGUUUCCUGGGGAAGGCUCGUCCGCCC